rnacentral:rRNA from 1 species
UGAAACCAGGAUUAGAUACCCUACUAUACUAAGAUAAUAGAAAAAACUAGAAUAUUAAAAGAUAUGGUCUUUAAAUUCAAAGAAUUUGGCGGUAAUUUAGUCUUUCCAGAGGAACCUGUUUUUUAAUCGAUAAACCGCGAAUAAUCUUACUUACUUUUGUAAAUUUAAUAAGUUUGUAUACCGUCAUUAUCAGAUGAUAUUUAGAGAUAAUAUUAUUGGGUUUUAAAUAGUAAAAAAAAUUAGAUCAAGGUGCAGCUAAUAGGUAAGUUAAAAUGGGUUACAAUUAAUUAGAUUUAAUAAUGAAUAAGGAUUUGAAAAACCCUUGGAAGGGGGAUUUGGUUGUAAUAAAAAUUAGUAUGAUAAAAAGAUAUAAGCUCUAAAUUAUGUACAUAUCGCCCGUCGCUA